rnacentral:sRNA from 1 species
AACAGUUAAAGCGGUAAGUGUUACAGAU